rnacentral:tRNA from 1 species
GCUUUCAUAAUUUAAAUAAAAUAGUGGUCUUGUAAGCCAAAAAUAUGUUUAUUACAUUUAAAGCU